rnacentral:rRNA from 1 species
ACACUAUCAUUAACUGAAUCCAUAGGUUAAUGAGGCGAACCGGGGGAACUGAAACAUCUAAGUACCCCGAGGAAAAGAAAUCAACCGAGAUUCCCCCAGUAGCGGCGAGCGAACGGGGAGGAGCCCAGAGCCUGAAUCAGUGUGUGUGUUAGUGGAAGCGUCUGGAAAGGCGCGCGAUACAGGGUGACAGCCCCGUACACAAAAAUGCACAUGCUGUGAGCUCGAUGAGUAGGGCGGGACACGUGGUAUCCUGUCUGAAUAUGGGGGGACCAUCCUCCAAGGCUAAAUACUCCUGACUGACCGAUAGUGAACCAGUACCGUGAGGGAAAGGCGAAAAGAACCCCGGCGAGGGGAGUGAAAAAGAACCUGAAACCGUGUACGUACAAGCAGUGGGAGCACGCUUAGGCGUGUGACUGCGUACCUUUUGUAUAAUGGGUCAGCGACUUAUAUUCUGUAGCAAGGUUAACCGAAUAGGGGAGCCGAAGGGAAACCGAGUCUUAACUGGGCGUUAAGUUGCAGGGUAUAGACCCGAAACCCGGUGAUCUAGCCAUGGGCAGGUUGAAGGUUGGGUAACACUAACUGGAGGACCGAACCGACUAAUGUUGAAAAAUUAGCGGAUGACUUGUGGCUGGGGGUGAAAGGCCAAUCAAACCGGGAGAUAGCUGGUUCUCCCCGAAAGCUAUUUAGGUAGCGCCUCGUGAAUUCAUCUCCGGGGGUAGAGCACUGUUUCGGCAAGGGGGUCAUCCCGACUUACCAACCCGAUGCAAACUGCGAAUACCGGAGAAUGUUAUCACGGGAGACACACGGCGGGUGCUAACGUCCGUCGUGAAGAGGGAAACAACCCAGACCGCCAGCUAAGGUCCCAAAGUCAUGGUUAAGUGGGAAACGAUGUGGGAAGGCCCAGACAGCCAGGAUGUUGGCUUAGAAGCAGCCAUCAUUUAAAGAAAGCGUAAUAGCUCACUGGUCGAGUCGGCCUGCGCGGAAGAUGUAACGGGGCUAAACCAUGCACCGAAGCUGCGGCAGCGACGCUUAUGCGUUGUUGGGUAGGGGAGCGUUCUGUAAGCCUGUGAAGGUGUGCUGUGAGGCAUGCUGGAGGUAUCAGAAGUGCGAAUGCUGACAUAAGUAACGAUAAAGCGGGUGAAAAGCCCGCUCGCCGGAAGACCAAGGGUUCCUGUCCAACGUUAAUCGGGGCAGGGUGAGUCGACCCCUAAGGCGAGGCCGAAAGGCGUAGUCGAUGGGAAACAGGUUAAUAUUCCUGUACUUGGUGUUACUGCGAAGGGGGGACGGAGAAGGCUAUGUUGGCCGGGCGACGGUUGUCCCGGUUUAAGCGUGUAGGCUGGUUUUCCAGGCAAAUCCGGAAAAUCAAGGCUGAGGCGUGAUGACGAGGCACUACGGUGCUGAAGCAACAAAUGCCCUGCUUCCAGGAAAAGCCUCUAAGCAUCAGGUAACAUCAAAUCGUACCCCAAACCGACACAGGUGGUCAGGUAGAGAAUACCAAGGCGCUUGAGAGAACUCGGGUGAAGGAACUAGGCAAAAUGGUGCCGUAACUUCGGGAGAAGGCACGCUGAUAUGUAGGUGAAGUCCCUUGCGGAUGGAGCUGAAAUCAGUCGAAGAUACCAGCUGGCUGCAACUGUUUAUUAAAAACACAGCACUGUGCAAACACGAAAGUGGACGUAUACGGUGUGACGCCUGCCCGGUGCCGGAAGGUUAAUUGAUGGGGUCAGCGCAAGCGAAGCUCUUGAUCGAAGCCCCGGUAAACGGCGGCCGUAACUAUAACGGUCCUAAGGUAGCGAAAUUCCUUGUCGGGUAAGUUCCGACCUGCACGAAUGGCGUAAUGAUGGCCAGGCUGUCUCCACCCGAGACUCAGUGAAAUUGAACUCGCUGUGAAGAUGCAGUGUACCCGCGGCAAGACGGAAAGACCCCGUGAACCUUUACUAUAGCUUGACACUGAACAUUGAGCCUUGAUGUGUAGGAUAGGUGGGAGGCUUAGAAGUGUGGACGCCAGUCUGCAUGGAGCCGGCCUUGAAAUACCACCCUUUAAUGUUUGAUGUUCUAACGUUGACCCGUAAUCCGGGUUGCGGACAGUGUCUGGUGGGUAGUUUGACUGGGGCGGUCUCCUCCUAAAGAGUAACGGAGGAGCACGAAGGUUGGCUAAUCCUGGUCGGACAUCAGGAGGUUAGUGCAAUGGCAUAAGCCAGCUUGACUGCGAGCGUGACGGCGCGAGCAGGUGCGAAAGCAGGUCAUAGUGAUCCGGUGGUUCUGAAUGGAAGGGCCAUCGCUCAACGGAUAAAAGGUACUCCGGGGAUAACAGGCUGAUACCGCCCAAGAGUUCAUAUCGACGGCGGUGUUUGGCACCUCGAUGUCGGCUCAUCACAUCCUGGGGCUGAAGUAGGUCCCAAGGGUAUGGCUGUUCGCCAUUUAAAGUGGUACGCGAGCUGGGUUUAGAACGUCGUGAGACAGUUCGGUCCCUAUCUGCCGUGGGCGCUGGAGAACUGAGGGGGGCUGCUCCUAGUACGAGAGGACCGGAGUGGACGCAUCACUGGUGUUCGGGUUGUCAUGCCAAU